rnacentral:lncRNA from 1 species
AGGCUGGCCUUGAACUGAGAAAUUUGCCUGCCUCUGCCUCCCAAGUGCUGGGAUUAAAGGCAUGCGCCACCACGCCUAACACCACACAGUUUUAAUGAAGGAUUUUGCUGUCCAUUUUCUAAGAAUAUAAACAGAUGUGUUUAUACUGGUGUGGAAAUAUAAUCUACCGUGGUGUAUUCCUGAUCUCCAAACUAUACCUUUUUUUUUUUAGAAUUUAAUGUGAAAUUAAUUCACUGGAAAUAUGAAUACAAGGACUGGAUGUAUAGCACGGUGGUAGAGUACUUGACCAGACUAUGCAAGGCUCUGGCUUUGCUCUUUUGCAUACAUAAAUAAGUAGAUUUAUGUGAAGCAAAAAGCAGACUUUUCUGUUGUCAGCACCCCUUUUCUGUUCUCUAGAAGCAGAUUAGCAUUUGGCGGUAUCCUUUCUAGAUGUACCUGAACUCACAUAAACAUUGUUCUUUUUUACUUUCUUCUGAUGCUACACUUCCAGCCCCCAGUACAUAUGUGUGCUUACCAGCACGGCAUAAGACAAGUGGUGGUAUUUCUUAGGAAGCAGAAGGCCCCUACGUGUCCCCUACUCCUGAACCAUGGACAGGGCUGAGAGAAAUAGUUGAUGCUGUACUGGUACUGUGCUUGUUGUGGCAAAGCACCUUAGAAAAGCAAUCUAAAAAGGCGAUUUACUUUGCCACAACCAGGCUGUGGUUGCCUGGUCCCAUUGCUCUUAGGCUCCUGGUGAGGUGGGAGCAUAGCAAUGGGCAAGGCAGAUGAAAACUGCUCGCCUCCUGCAGACAUGAAGCUGAAAGCCAGAGACAGAAGGGACUGGAGACAGUGAAGUUUGUUCAUUCCACCUCCAGGAACGCUGUCAGUUCAUGGCCUAUCACAGGAUUAAUGUAUGGAUUAGGUCAGAGGCCUCAUGUACCUCCAAAGCGCCACCUCUUUCUGAACAUUACACUGGAGAUCCAAGCCUUAGCACUGGGUUUUGGAGGGGAUUUUAUUUCCAAAUCACGGCAGGUGCGUUGGGAGCCACUGUCAGAUUGUUGUCAACUGAUUGUUAUUUGCUGGAGAAAAAUGACAUUCUGCACAGAGCAUUGCAGACUCAGCAAAGUGGCUUGUUUUGAAUUGUGCUGAGACAAGCUUUUUUUCCCCUCUGUUUCUGUGUUUUGCUUUCAGCUUGAAGGUCUUCCUGUACUGUUCUCCAGUCACUAAGGAGCUGUUGUUAACUAGCCCAAAGUACAGAUUCUGGGAAAACAGAAUUGUAAGUCAACUGUAAUUCAAAAAGUUGUAAGUUUUGAAUAGCACCCCUUUGUUGUAUACAUGGGGAGUAUUUUUAGAGGCAUCUUUUGAAAAAUCAUUGGAAUUACUCAAACCACCUUUCUUCAUGCAUGUGAAUUCAUCAUGAAUUAGAAUAGUGUCUGAGGUGUGACUCAGCAGUUUAGGAGGUAGCAGGUUUUCGAUACUUGUUCCUCAAGAGUGUGAUUUAGGUCUUAAUUUACUCUCGGGACUUAAAGUACAAACAAGAUGUGCUUGAUUAUAGUUUUUAAAUCACAGGUUAACUCAGGAAGAAGAAACAUAUUUUAAAGGUUAUAAUAAAAAGGGUCGGAGCUGAGAGAUGGUUCAAUGGUCAAGAGCACUUGAUGCUCUCCCAGAGGACCUGUGUUUGGGUACCAGCACCCACGUUAGGCAUCUCACAACCCCCUGUAACUCCAGUUACAGAAGAUCUGACUUUCUCAGUCCUCAACAGGCUCCUACACACAGGUGGCAUUCUUACACACAUGUGCAUGCACAGACACACACACACACACACACACACACACACACACACAAAUAAAAUUAAAUCUUAAAAAAAGGGAAAAAGUAACAAUACU